UUUUAAAAUCCAAGUUGGAUCAAUUUAUUAUAUGACGGACGGAGGGAGUGUGCCAAAUCUUUUGUUGCUUACAUAUAAAAACGUUUUUAACUUGUCAAACAACGAGACUAUUGGCGACGGUUGAAUGAAAUCUAAUACUCAAACUAACUUUCAGUAGACAAUCUACACCACUAACUGCUCAUAUACAAGUCCAUUUAUAUAGUACAAAUACAAACAAGAAUCAUAUAAAUUCGUUACCUUUAUUUUCCCUACUAUUUAAACAAAAUUCCCCAACUUUUAAAGCUAACAAAUUCGUAUCACACAAUAUUUUGUGUUCUCGCAGAGCAUCCAUAUCUAUAAUCUUCAACUUCUGAAUUAGACCAAUGUUGUUGUUGGAUGUUAUUACGGUUUGCUAGUUUUUGCUUCUAAUGAUGAGGGGAAAUUCAAAGAUGUAGACGUCCAACGUAUAUAUUAUAGUAUCCCUAAAGGGUGAUGAUGUUUUAAAGGGCAGCAGCAACUACGUUGGACCCAUUUUUCAGGCCGAAAUCAACACUUAUGGAUAGCUUAGAUCCAGUGACGGGGUUUACAGAUGCGGAAGAAGCUCUCGUCUUGAGAAACAAGGCUCCCCGAUGGCACGAGCAACUAUAGAGCUGGUGUCUCAACUUCAGCUGGUGGGUGGUGAUGGUGAGGAUGUAAUCCUCCAAUUUGGGAAAGGAUACCUUCAUCAUGGAUUAUCAGUAUCCCUUGUCUGCUUUCCAGGCAUUUGCCCUUUGUCUCAGCAGCUUCGAUGCGUGCGAAGAGCUUAUCUCAUAUUGUAUCUCACUAUUAAAGAACCAAAUACAACUAGUGUAAUUAGUUUCAAAUGGCAAUAUUCACAAGGUUCAUUCACAUUACAUCUUUUCAAUUUCAAAUCUUUAAA